CAAUAGCGUAUAUUAAAGUUGUUGCAGUUAGAACGCUCGUAGUCGGAUUUCGGGGCGGGCCGACCGGUCUGCCGAUGGGUACGCACUGGUCGGCGCGUCCUUCCUUCCGGAGACCGUGCCUACUCUUAACUGAGCGGGGGCGGGAGACGGAUCGUUUACUUUGAAAAAAUCAGAGUGUUUCAAGCAGGCAGCUCGCUCUUGCAUGGAUUAGCAUGGGAUAAUGAAAUAGGACUUUGGUGCUAUUUUGUUGGUUUCGAACACCGAAGUAAUGAUUAACAGGGACAGUCAGGGGCACUCGUAUUCCGCCGAGAGAGGUGAAAUUCUCAGACCAGCGGAAGACGAACUACUGCGAAAGCAUUUGCCAGGGAUGUUUUCACUG
rnacentral:rRNA from 1 species